CGGAAAAACUCCUGAUCCUGGUGAGGCAGAUAUGUUUCUCACUAGCAGUCGAUUCUGCUUUUAGCUUUGGCCCCUUUAAAUUCCUCUGUACCCCCUUUUGGUGAAGUGCCGUGCAGCUGCAAAUGCCUCUGGAUCAUCGUCCACCCGAUCCUGCCUGUCUGCACUGGCUGACUGCUGAGGGGUCACAGACCGGAUGAGACCAGCUGUUUCCAUCAGGGGAAGUAUUGUUUGCAAACAUGUCUCAUCUCCCUCUAACGGAAUGAAAGACAAGAAGAGGGGCAGAACCAUGUGGAAAAUGUUAUAGAUACUCAGAUAAGGGGAUGCUAAACCCUUCCGGGAUGAAUUGGACGAAACUGCAAGAAGUGUGGCAUGAUAUCUGAGCUGCAACUGCACGUAAAUUAGAAGCCCCCUACCUGGUCACCUUAGAUACUAGAGGUCAGGGAAAGGACAGAUGGGGCUCCCUGUGUUAUCUCCCAUUCUGUAAGAAAGUUUGAAAUCAGUUCUCUAUUUCCCAGCAUAUACAAGGCUAAGAAUCC
ensembl:lncRNA